CUGCACUCCAAGCUCAGGGUCAGUGAUUGGGCCCCCGGGGUCAGUGGUCAGUCACACCCCCACACGGACGGGUUCUCUCAUCAGGAAAGGGCCGGGAAAAUUCCGACACAGCCAGAAGCCUCAGACCCUUAACGGGAGUCGCCCAGUCACGUGUCAGGAUGGCUUCCCACAGUAUAGGACAUAAGUAGACUCUGCCCCAGCCCUGAAGGGACUCAGUGUCUGGUGGGAGACAGAUAAGUGAGUAAAGGUACACUCUUUUGUUUUGUUCCUCUUCAGCCCUUUUUAUUUUUUUAUUUUGAGCGAGGUUGUCACUAAGUUGCUGAGGCUGGCUUUCAACUCACCAUCCUCCUGCUUCAGCUUCCCGAGCUGCUGGAAUUACAGGCGUGCACCACCACAGCUGGCUGAGAUACACAGUUCAGAGUAAUCAAGGCUGUUAAGAAAGGCUCCCUGCCAGGGAUCUCCCUAUCAGCUGCGCCACCUUGCCUGGCCUUUUGGUGUUGUUUUUAAACAAAGGGUUUUGCUGCAUUGCCCAGGCUGGCCUUGAACUUGGGAUCCUUCUGCCUCAGCCUCCCCAGCAUGCACAUGUGCCAAUUAUAUAAAUAUAAUGUAAUCUAUUAAACCAUUACUCUAUUGGUGAA